AGAUUGAACGCUGGCGGCAGGCCUAACACAUGCAAGUCGAGCGGUAGAGAGGUGCUUGCACCUCUUGAGAGCGGCGGACGGGUGAGUAAUGCCUAGGAAUCUGCCUAGUGGUGGGGGAUAACGUUCGGAAACGGACGCUAAUACCGCAUACGUCCUACGGGAGAGAGCGGGGGACCUUCGGGCCUCGCGCCAUUAGAUGAGCCUAGGUCGGAUUAGCUAGUUGGUGAGGUAAUGGCUCACCAAGGCGACGAUCCGUAACUGGUCUGAGAGGAUGAUCAGUCACACUGGAACUGAGACACGGUCCAGACUCCGUACGGGAGCAGCAGUGGGGAAUAGUGGACAAGUGGGAC
rnacentral:rRNA from 1 species